UAGCUCAGUCAGUUGAGCGUGGCACUAACAACGCCAAGGUUGUGGGUUCGAUUCCCGU
rnacentral:tRNA from 1 species